rnacentral:rRNA from 1 species
GACGAACGCUGGCGGCGUGCUUAACACAUGCAAGUCGAGCGGUAAGGCCCUUUCGGGGGUACACGAGCGGCGAACGGGUGAGUAACACGUGGGUGACCUGCCCUCAGCUCUGGGAUAAGCCUGGGAAACCGGGUCUAAUACUGGAUAUGACUCCAUGACGCAUGUUGUGGGGUGGAAAGCCUUGUGCGGCUAAGGAUGGGCCCGCGGCCUAUCAGCUUGUUGGUGGGGUGAUGGCCUACCAAGGCGACGACGGGUAGCCGGCCUGAGAGGGCGACCGGCCACACUGGGACUGAGACACGGCCCAGACUCCUACGGGAGGCAGCAGUGGGGAAUCUUGCGCAAUGGGCGAAAGCCUGACGCAGCGACGCCGCGUGAGGGAUGACGGCCU